AGGGUCAUCAGAUUGAGCCCACGGCCAACAGAUUGCCACCCAAGGCCACCCAAGGUCAUCAGAUUGAACCCACAGCCAACAGAUUGCCUCCAAGGUCAUCAAAUUGAUCCUGUGGCCAUCGAGUUGCCCCCCAGGGUCAUCAGAUUGAACCCGUGGCCAACAGAUUGCCUCCAAGGUCAUCAGUUUGACCCGAAGACCAUCAAGUUCCCACCCAGGGUCAUCAAACUGAACCCAUGGCCAACAGAUUGCCACCCAAGGUCAUCAAAUCGAUCCUGCGGCCAGCAAGUUGCCCCCCAGGGUCAUCAGAUUGAACCCACGGCCAACAGAUUGCCUCCAAGGUCAUCAAAUGGAUCCUGUGGCCAUCGAGUUGCUCCCCACGGUCAUCAGAUUGAACCCGUGGCCAACAGAUUGCCUCCAAGGUCAUCAGUUUGACCCCAAGACCAUCAAGUUCCCACCCAGGGUCAUCAAACUGAACCCAUGGCCAACAGAUUGCCACCCAGGGUCAUCAGAUUGAGCCCAUGGCCAACAGAUUGCACCCCAUGGCCACCAAAUUGAUCCUGUGGCCAUCGAGUUGCCCCUCAGGGUCAUCAAUUUGACCCCAAGACCAUCAAGUUGCCCCCCAGGGUCAUCAAACUGAACCCAUGGCCAACAGAUUGCCACCCAACAUCAUCAGGUCGAACCCAUGGCCAACAGAUUGCCUCCAAGUUCAUCAAUUUGACCCCAAGACCAUCAAGUUGCCACCCAGGUUCAUCAGAUUGAACCCACAGCCAACAGAUUGCCCCGCAUGGCCACCAAAUCGAUCCUGUGGCCAUCAAGUUGUCCCCCAGGGUCAUCAAUUUGACCCCAAGAUCAUCAAGUUGCCACCCAGGGUCAUCAGAUUGAGCCCAUGGCCAAUAGAUUGCCCCUCAUGGCCACCAAAUCAAUCCUGUGGCCAUCAAGUUGCUUCCCAAGGUCAUCAGAACGAACCCAUGGCCAACAAAAUGCCCCCUACGGUCACCAAACUGACCCAGCAGCCAAAAAAUUACCCCCCAAGGUCAUCAAAUUGAACCCGUGGCCAACAAAUUGCCCCCAACAUCAUCAAAUUGAAUGCAAGGCCAACAAGUUGCCCCCCAAGGUCAUCAAAUUGCCCCCCAUGGUCUCCAAGCUGCCCCUCGGGCCCUAUAACCCCUCACCCACCUCCUGUUUCCCCCCCCCCAGGACCCCGUGCCCCCUCCCCAUACCCGCUCCAGGCUCCUCCUUUGCCCUCGCUGGGCUCUCCUCAGGGGGCCGCUCGCUGUCAGCCGGGCCCCCUUUGCCCCCCCGGGGGGAGCGCAGCAGGGUCAGCAUCACUGGGCGCCGGUUCCCCGUCUCCUCGUUCACCUGAGGGGGGGGACAGCAAUGGGGACAGCGGUGACACGGCGGUCAUGGGGGAAGGGGGACAGCGGGGGGGAAGGUGACAACGGGGAGGAGGUGACAAUGGUGGGAAGGUGACAGCAGUGAGAAGGUGACAAUGGGGAGAAGGUGACAACGGUGGGGAAGGUGACAAUGGGGAGAAGGUGACAACGGUGGUGAAGGUGACAACGGUGGUGAAGGUGACAGUGGGGAGAAGGUGACAAUGGGGAGAAGGUGACAACGGUGGUGAAGGUGACAACGGGGAGAAGGUGACAACGGGGAGAAGGUGACAGUAGCCAAAGGGAGAUGACAACGGUGAGAAAGUGACAACGGUGAGAAGGUGACAAAUGUGAGAAGGUGACAACAGCCAAGAGGUGACAGCAAUGAGAAAGUGACAACAGCCAAGGGGAGGUGACAACAGUGAGAAGGUGACAACAGUGAGAAGGUGACAGUGGUCAAAAGGAGGUGUCACUAGUGAGAAGGAGGUGACAACGUUACGAAGGAGGUGACAACGUUACGAAGGAGGUGACAAAAGUGAGAAGGCAAAAUCAGCCAAGGGAAGGUGACAAAAGUAGGAAGGUGACACUGGUGAAAAGGAGGUGACAACAGUGAGAAGGUGACAGCAGACACAGAGAGGUGACAACGAGCACCAAGUAACAAAGGUGACAGAGAGGUGACAGCAGUGACAGGGAGGUGACCAGGUGACACAGUGGAGCCAGCAGUGACAGGGAGGUGACAAUGAUGACACGGAGGUGCCAGUGGUGACAGGAAGGUGACAGCAGUGACAUGGAGGUGACAAUGAUGAUGAAGUGACAACUAGGACCAAGUAACAAAGGUGACAGGGAGGUGACAGCAGUGACAGGGAAGUGACCAGGUGUCACAGAGGUGCCAGCAGUGACAUGAAGGUGACAAUGGGUGAGAUGGAGGUGACAGCAGUGACAGGGAGGUGACAACUAGGACCAGGUGCCAGCAGCGACAUGGAGGUGACAAUG
rnacentral:lncRNA from 1 species